rnacentral:lncRNA from 1 species
GGAGAAAUUAUGACCGAGAGCCUGACACCUGAUGCUAGCGGCUUUUGUCUCGCCAAGUUGACCCAGUAUUUGGCCACCUUGUGCGGCGGGUGACUAUGGUGUCCAGGUAUAUAUAUGUAUUACCUGAAAGCCCAGGGCAGUUGUUGCCUUGGGUCAUGCAGAGAAUAUGCAGCCACACCCAUGCCUUAGAUGUGUGUAAUUCAAGUGGAGAAGACACAAGCCAGUGGUCGCAAUAUCAACACUUGAGUGUUCUGUAAACGAUUAAUGUUUGCCAUGUGCAAGGAAAUGGCAGAGGCAAAAUGCUGGCGGCUUAUGGAAAAAUAAUUUAUAAAAAAAUGAUGGGAUUGGUGUCAGCAGAAAACCAACAGUGAUGUGGUGGCACACAGUGAACUGACAGGACCCAGGCAGCAGCGGUUCUUUUGGUGGCAAUGGUGCCAUGUCAUGGGUACUCUCCUUGCUGAUGGCAGAUACCGACAGGCAAACUGUUGCCUUGCGUUUAGCUCUGUUAACCAUUGACAGUAAGGUAAGCAUGUCUUCAGCGUUCAUGGCUCUUAAAGAUCUUGUCUGUAACACAAGGGUUUAAGACUGGGGUCUCAUUUUGUUGUCCUGACUUAGACUUGGCAGUCCUCCUGCUUCAGCCUGCUAAGUGCCAAGAUUACAGGGUUGAGCCAGCAUGCCUAACUUCUAGUUUAGUUUCUUCAGACAGGGUCUCAUGCAGCACAGGCUGGCUUUAGACUUGCUAUUGAGCAUAGGAUUACCUUGAACCCUUGAUCUUCCUGACUCUACCUUCUAAGUUCUGGGAUUCCAGGCAUGCUCAGUUAAAACAAUAGGUGGAUUUAGUCAUAUUCUUCUGGAGACUAAGACAAUAGAGUCCUUGAAGUCAAGCUGACUCUGCCUUUAGCCUCCUACAUGAAAAGGUAGAUAGAACAGGUCUUGUUUGCAAAAUAAAUUCAAGACCUACUUAUCUACCAACAGCCA